UACAGAGGGUGCGAGCGUUAAUCGGAAUUACUGGGCGUAAAGCGUGCGUAGCCGGUAGCGUAAGUCAGAUGUGAAAGCCCCGGGCUCAACCUGGGAAUGGCAUUUGAUACUCUGAGGCUGGAGUACGGGAGAGGAGAGUGGAAUUCCCAGUGUAGAGGUGAAAUUCGUAGAUAUUGGGAAGAACACCGGUGGCGAAGGCGGCUCUCUGGACCGUAACUGACGCUGAGGCGCGAAAGCGUGGGGAGCAAACAGG
rnacentral:rRNA from 1 species